UGGUGACACAAAGGAUGGAAAUGAAA
rnacentral:piRNA from 1 species